rnacentral:tRNA from 1 species
GAAGGUUAGUCUUUAGUGAAGAUGCAGGGUUGUCAGCUCUGAGAGGUUAUUACAUAACACCUUCC